rnacentral:rRNA from 1 species
UGCAGUCGAACGGAGAAUUUCAAUAAGCUUGCUUAGAGAAAUUUUUAGUGGCGGACGGGUGAGUAACGCGUGGGUAACCUACCCAUAAAGCCGGGACAACCCUUGGAAACGAGGGCUAAUACCGGAUAAUCUUAAGCUUUGGCAUCAAAGUAUAAGGAAAGGUGGCCUCUGAGUAUGCUACCGAUUAUGGAUGGACCCGCGUCUGAUUAGCUAGUUGGUGGGGUAAAGGCCUACCAAGGCGACGAUCAGUAGCCGGCCUGAGAGGGUGAACGGCCACACUGGGACUGAGACACGGCCCAGACUCCUACGGGAGGCAGCAGUGGGGAAUCUUCCGCAAUGGACGAAAGUCUGACGGAGCAACGCCGCGUGUAUGAUGAAGGUCUUCGGAUUGUAAAGUACUGUCUUUGGGGAAGAAUGACUGGUUUGAAAAUAUUGAGCCAGUAUGACGGUACCCAAGGAGGAAGCCCCGGCUAACUACGUGCCAGCAGCCGCGGUAAUACGUAGGGGGCAAGCGUUGUCCGGAAUUAUUGGGCGUAAAGGGCGCGUAGGCGGAUGUUUAAGUCCGGUGUGAAAGAUCAGGGCUCAACCCUGAGAGUGCAUCGGAAACUGGGCAUCUUGAGGACAGGAGAGGAAAGUGGAAUUCCACGUGUAGCGGUGAAAUGCGUAGAUAU